UUUAUUGUGCCAUUAGGCUUUAGGCUGUAGUAUGUAAUUUUUCGCAGAACUCGAAAAGGAGUGUAGCACUUUUAUUAAUAGUCGAAUUGAUCGCCUUUGAGAAGUGGGAAGAGUCUAGGUUGUGAACUCGCGAAUCAUCUUGCUUUAUUUCAUUUCCGAGUUCGGGACAAGGAGGGUCAUUAGCCAUAGGCGCCUUACCACGAUCGUAGCCCUCCAGCGCGACGCAUCUGUCCCGAGACAGUCUUUCUAGAGCUCUCCUAAACCUUUAAUUGGCUUUCAAAGCAGUUAACAGAAUCCCUCUCCGAAGCUGCGAACGGACCUCCGCUUGUCAGCUCUGCUGUAAUCCUUCUACCCAUCGCUUUCAGCUCACCUUGAAGACCCCUAGCCUCUCUACGGACUUAAUCUACCCAUCUUAUCGGCUCACAACCUAGACGGUUGUCUUCUGUACGGGAGGAAGGCUGUCGCAGGGGAGGAACCAUUUUGAAGGGGAGGGGAGUUCCACUAUCUGAGUUAGGCCGAUAUCAUUAGAUAGGUAGGCUGAUCUCCGCUUCUAUCCUCCCGGGAUCAGAAGCAGGCGAUGGCGCAAGUGGAGUGAAAAGCUUUGAGUGGAAGGAAGGUCCUUGUUCAGCUCCGCCUAUUCAUCUCUUCUUUCAAAUAGUGAAAGCAAAUUACCCUUUUCUAGUUCUCACUCUGUUGUGGGGACCCACCAAGACUGUCUUUCCCUGUCUUUCCUAGUCUAUAGGUCCAAUCUCAUCUGCUAGCGCUUCUUCUGGUCGGGACACAUUCAUAGAUUUCUCAUAAUUGUUCCUGGGCUUGCAAGUGACUUACUGCUUUUGGCCGUUCUUGCUGUCUUAAGUCGUCCUCUUUCUUUAUAAUUAAUUUCUUUCGUGCCUGCCCGGAGGCUAAGGGGAGAACUGCAUGUCCUACUAGUCGGAUAGAAGCCUACCCACCUACCAGCCUACCUUGUUCAUAUCGAGCCGGACAGGAGAGACACUCUUUAAAGUUAAUAGAAGCAAUUCCUUUUAUAGAAAAUAGGUGCGUGAUUCAAAUAGGGGAGUUCCGAACCAGCAGCAAGCCCUUUCUCGCCCUUUCUAAUGUCCUAGGCGAAGGCAGUGCAGGCCCGGAGAGAUCCCAUUUUUUUUUAUCGCUCCACAUAGCUCACGACCCGGCACGAAGAAAGAUCUUAGAUGGGCGGAUGCGAAUCUGGAUCUAUCAACGGAGCAAUGGAAUUCAAGUCGUAGCCGUGUCUGACCCCCGUGAUCUUUCUUUCCUUCUUUUGAAGCUUGUUGCCCUUUAGUGAUAGUGAUAAAGAGCACACCUCUACCUCUAAUCUAUCCCGCUCACGGUUUUCUUCCUGCUCACCAGGAAUGGUAGAGAGAGCUCCUUUCUUAUUCCAUUUCCGGUGAUCACGAACUUGGAAAACGUCCUGCAAUCAAACUAAAGAAGAAUCCACCCAUCUCGACGUUCUUAGGCGGGGACAGGAUUCGAACCGGCUUGUGACACCACCCCAGUAAGAGAUCAACGAAAAGCAUCUUCCGACUAAAAGAAAGUAGUUGAAAACCGAGACCAAAGGAGUGUACUUUACUUAAUUAAGGAAGUGUACUUAACGAGGGGCUGUUGAGUAAGGGGGGGGUCGGUAUUAGAAGUCUUUUUUCUUUCACGGGCACAAAUGAGUAAUGGAAGAUCCAUCUCUAAAAUCGAACUUCUCUAGCGCCUCAAAGAAAAAAAAUGGGCGUAGUAACUCAACCUGGAAGGAAGAUCCAACAGAUAUAAGAAACAGAUAGAACAGGAAGAGUCGGUGGUGCUGCUAACUGAAGUACGUGUGCAUCCCCCUCCGUUCAACCAACGACGUAAUAAUCCUAAUCCGGCAUGUCCGGUCUAUCUCUCUCAUCGAGCUUACGCUUUCGAAGGAGAAAUACAAUAGGUUUCAUGCGGAACGAGAACAUUUUUCUUUGGUUACACUCCUUGAAAUCCAAUCUCCGGUAAAAGGCAUAGACCAGAUCAUCUUUUGAUUCUUUCAUCUUUGCUUUGAGUUCUCAUCCAGCUGUAAAUCCUCUACUUGUUGGCCUUGGGAGAAAGAGACCACUUCGGGAACUCUUCGAGGAGGAUAGCCACUCUCUUUACUUUAGAAUCAUCUUUUUACACGGCUCAGUGCAAAGCAAAGCUCUUUCGUCGAGAUUGGCAUUAGUGAGCACUUAUCUCAGUAUAAGAUCGAAAAGAAUGGAAUGCAUUGGUAUUGCCUGGGGUGAACUGGUUGAAAUGAAAGAUAGCAUCUUACCGAGCUCCUACCCCUAAGGGUAAGGGUGAUCAAUUAUCCCAGAACCUGAUUCCUAUGUGUAAGGAGGAGCGGCUGGGACUCUAUAUAGAAAGAUCAUAAGCAGUUCUUUCUUUUCCCGAAGCUGGCUAGUCUUCUAUUCUUUGCGCUCUCCCCCUUCAAAGUUUCUCAUUCUUUCUUCCCUUUUCGCCCGCUUCGCUGGAAUCUUGUUCUCUCCAUAAGGAGGUUCUAUAGUCACCCGAUCUCUACACGAUGCUGCGGAGCACCUCUUGUAGUCUUUGGCUGACCUGAUUGGUGCUUUCGUAGCGGGGAAUGCACUUCGACUCCCCCUAUCCCAGACAGAAUGAAGCUUUCACACUCCUUCUCUAUAGUUGAUCCAUAGCUUGAACAAGACAGCUGCACCAGGAUAGUCAGAAAGAAGUAAAGCGCAUCCACAACUGCCGCAGAAAGAAGAGGAGCAUCUAUACUAUCUUCCGCAACUUCCGAAAGAGCCACAUCAAGAACAAGAGCGGGUACCGCAUGUGCCGUAAGACAGGCAGGAAUGGGAUAUAUAUUUGAAAGAACAAUAGCAAGGAGAGGACCAAUUCUUCCAGAUGAAAGAUGACUACCAAUGAACCAGGCAGGGACUAAUCAAAAUAAGGAUUCUAUUCCAUUAGCCGAGGAAAGAAGUAGCAAAGGAAUCUCGCUAUCGUGGGAGGAAAUAAAAAAGUAGGAUAGGAAGCUCUAUUUGAUCUAAGGGAUGGCUAAAAGGCCAAAUCCAGCUAAGAACAAAAAGAAGAGAUCAAGGAGAGGGAUAUAGCUCUUUUUACGGGAGCUAGACGAGCACUCGCAAGAGAGCGACCGGCAGAUCUAAAACUGCUCUAGUAAAGUAGAACGAAAGUAGUCUAGGCACACGAGAGAAAGCAAUUCAGGGCAUUUGAAUCGACGAUAGCGAGAUACAUAGCCCGUGAAGUCUCCCUUUGGACUAAGAAAUCGGCACAUAGUAGAAUCGAACUGAUGUAAUGGGCGGAACGCUCCCCUACCGAUGCCUUAGGCCCAAAAAAGCUUUCUUUUUCCUCAGGGGAGACCAGGAGCCAUUGAUUGAAUCCUUCGAGCUAGUCGGCGAAGGGACCAAUGGGUAUGAUAGAAUAGAUAGGAAUGCCAGAGCGUCAAUGAAAUUCAUGUUUUCCGGUUCUCCAUUUAUGAAUAGAAAAGGUCUUGAAGCCCAAAAUAAAGUUUUUUUGGAAAGGAGUAAAGUCAGGCUUUCUUCAACAUCUGUACUUGAUCUAACCCUUUCUUUUGCUUGACUUUAGUUUUCAAUAAGGCGCCCUACCCUAUCGCGAUAGACCACCUUACUCAAAUAGGGGGCAUCUCGGGCAUUGAAAGCAAGGAGACUGGAAAGGGCUGAGGUAAGGGAUCGUGAGCCAUAAGCAGCAAGCACAGUAUUCAAGUAAAGGCCUUACUAAUCUAAUAUAAUAUAUAAUAUAAAGGAGGAGGAUUUGGAUCAAGCUCAUAUUACUAUCACAUUACUAUGUUAGGAGAUAAAAGCCAUUCAAUCCCCGGGAGCUCUUUUUCCCUAAAGCGAACGGUCUACUCAAGCUCAAGAAAGUAGAAGUUGUGCAGCAAGUCGGGACUUCAAUUCCUAUCGUAUCAGUUCGAGACAGUCAAUUGUAUCCCCCUCGACGCGAGGCCAUCCAAAAGAAUGAAGACGAGCUCACCCUGCAAGAAAACGGAUGCAACAAGCAACGAUUGAGCAGGGCGAAUCCCUUACCCGGAGUCAAAAUGCGCUGCGAUCUAGCCUCUCUUGGCGCACCUACCUAAUAGAUAGAGAUAAAGCUGAGGUAAGUAGUUAACUGACUAGUGCUUCCAGUCCAACAAGUCUCCUAUUUCCGAGUGAAUUAGCAAGAGCACGACCCGCGACCUGUUAUUCAGCGACAUAAGACUUUUGUCGCCUAAUCUUCCGUUCCCCUCUACCUAUGAGCUCCCAAGUCGGUCAUUCCAGGAACAGCACGUCGUCGAAGCGGGAGUGGUGAAAUAAAGAAGUCGGAGCUCACUCCUAAGGGUUGGUCGGCUGGCUUGUCAUCCCGUGAAUCGGGCUAGACGAGUGAAUCUAGCCAUAAACACUCUUUUGUUGCUUGCGUAUCGUACCCGAUCCCUCCUUCAAGCAUCUCUAUUCCCCAGACCGCUUGAAAGAGUAGAAGUCGGCCAGUCCGUAGUCAUAGGGCAGCUAAGCUAAGCUUUCAGGCAAGGGAGGUAUAGGAUGAGAUAGAGAAAGUCUUUCCAGUCCUACAGCUUGAGCAGUAAGUAGUCUUUACUAAUUUAUACGCGUCAGCGAUCAAAGGUCAGCAUAGUUGGGCAAGCAUGAGGAGAUCCAGUUUAGUCCGAACAGUACUAUUAUCCCGAGUCAAGUAGUAGCCUCAUGGAGGAAAUGAAUAUUGAGUGGAUGAGAUAAGAUGUUUAUUGAGGAGUAGGCUUAACCCUGCGGAGGAGAAAGACCAGUGAGGAGCACCUUUAGAACCGUUAUAUGCCCGGCAAGUCCCAGGAAAGCCUAAGUUGGGUAGGUCAUUCCGGUAUGGGACAAGCGAAGCGAUCGGCCGGUUGGUGAGUCUGUCCAUUUUGUGGAGUGAGGAAAGUCAGUUGAUUCCGUUCCUGAGGUUCUUUCUUCGCAAGAGUCAAUGCUAAUAACGCAAGAUUGGAUUAAAUACCUGAAUGCCAGGCAAGCUCGUCAAUCCCGAUGCUAGCGAAGCGUCACUUCAACUAGUCCAUUCUCGAGGCAAGCCGGUAAGCCACAUGAGGCGGCGGCACUUCCAUUCUCGGAGGGAGGUCCCGCAUGAGUAGAGGCGCGCAGGCAAGCGAAUAGGAAAGUAGUCUUUAUCCGCGGCAAGCAUAUAAAGUACCGAACAGCCCGAGGAGUAGGCUUCCCGAUGCGGAACUCUAUUCCUUUUGCACUUGAAGUAGAGAAUCCGAAAGAGUGGGGUCAGUCAGAUGAACAUGCUUCUCUUCCCUGCUGUCCCGUGCGGGGGAUUAUCAAACAUCCCUGGUUAGGCCCAGUAGGAAAAAGUUGGCGAUGAUUGAAUGAUCGGGAAAAGAGGCAGGUGGGGAGGUCUCAGCUAGCUGGCCUCCUGGGGGAAUGAAACCAAUCAGUGGUGUGGAUUCUACCCGGGGUUCAACUCAACUAGAUGGGGAUUCAUAUCUUGUUUUGAGGUUGAUAUCGCGGGGAGUCCUAUUUCAUGCCGGGGAAGACGAAGUUACAUAAGUAGUUGAUUCGAAGGCUAGAAUCUCCUGUUUUGAAGCAGUUAACGUUAUGGCGCUCCCGCCCUUGUCCAGUAACCAUUCUGAGGGGGGAGCAAGAAAAUAUCAUCAACUCAUAAGUCCUUAUAGGAGCAUACCAUAUUAUCUUUCUUUGCGAAUAUGUUAAUCUGUGAAGCCAACAAGCCCUCUAUACUUCACAGCAUACAUCAAGGAUGUUCCGGUUCCCAGAGUUCAGAUUGACCAUGGAGCAUCUCUUAAUCUCAUCACUCUUCCUGCUUUAGAGGAACUUGGGAUUUCUCCAAGCUCACACUGGAGUAUCUAUAUUUGGAUAUGACGGAGGGUACCAAAGACCUGUGGGCAAGAUCAGGAUCAGAUUGCAAAUCGGUGAUCUAACUUCGGAAGCGACAUUCUACGCUAUCCGAGGACGAGCAUGCUACAACCUUCUUCUAGGCGGACCACGGAUUCAUGACAAUCAUGUGGUCCCAUCUACUCUUCAUCAGUGCUUCAAGUAUGUGGAUACAGACAAUAAAGUACGUCGCGUGUUCGCAGACAAGAAGCCGGCAGCGAGAUCUACUAUGCAGACUCAAAGCUAUAUGUAGAUGCCGAGACAGAAAAGGAAGAACCUAUCUCUCUCGCCGAGACAGACUCGCCCCCCCUAUCGUCUAAGGCUUUGGCAGCGGGAAGAAAGAAACUCGAAAAAAGCCGGCUCCAGCUACCUUUAGCGGCUGUGGGGAUCGCUACCUGUGAUCUCAGUCGGUUCGGCUGAGCCGUCUCUUCAACUUCUUUAACCGCGGACUCCGGAACACAUUCGGUAGGCUGUGUCCCUUCGACACUCUGUUCAGCAGCCUUUUCUGGAUUACCAGCCGACUCAGAACCAACUUCUGAUCUUUCUAGUUCCUGCCUAACACUAACAGGGGAGGGGACUACCUCUCUUCACCCAUAUCUUAAACCUUCACCAACGAUUUCCAGAUUCGACGAUUGGAGUAUGCAUAUGCGUCAAAACGACCUGGUGUGCUGAGUUUGAAAGCAAUCCCUUAUCUUUCUUUUAUAUUCUUUGACUCCCUCGGUUGCUAUUCGACUGGAAUUCGUGGUAACAUAUACAACUCUUAAGAACAAACUAUAAUUCCUGUUCUUGAUUGAAUGGAGAUGGAAUGGAAACACUAAACAGCUGUUUAAAGGAGGUUUACCCAGCUGUAACCUGCUGAUUUCAUAUGAAUGGACUCAUUUGUGUUGUUGAAUUCUUUAAUCUACUGCUGGAAAACAAAGGGGGGUGCUGUAAUAGAACUAAGUCGUAUCACAUGAAAGUAGGGUUUGCCUGAAAGCCAAGGAAAAUGGCCAUAGGAAGCUCUUUAGCUAUGGUACAGUCCAAAGCGAGUCUAUGAUUGGCUUCAUUCCAUGGUGCCAGGUUUGAGCUACUAACUGAGCUACUCUUUCCAGACAGACAGGGAUUCGUUCAUUCGUUCUGACUGCACGGCAUUCAUUCUUGCUAUUGCCAGGCCGUUGCUCCGCGCUUUACGACUAGUGCCGUUUACCAGCUCGUUACUCCUAAGCCGGUAUCCCCCUCAAGGGAAAGCAAUCCAAUGCUGUGUCAAGUGCGCUACUGCUUUCUUACCUUCCCUUAUACUUAUAUAAGUAGUUAUAGAUGCAGACGAUAUAGCGUCUUAUCGUCUUUAUUCUUGAAUUUAAAUAUGAAUUAGCUGCCUUUCCUACCUUCUUUUUAACUGGAAAAGGGCAUUCAUAUUUGCGUAUGAGCCCUUUGUGAACCUUCCUGAAGGUUUUGAAUUGUUGUGGCUGGAGAUUGACCAUUACUAGGUCUCCUUGUUUGUACUCUACAGGCCGUCUCUUAGUGUCUGCCCAUUUCUUUAUUUUCUUAGCGGCUUUCUCUAGGGCUCUUUGAAAUUCUUGGCGAACUUGUAGGCGGCCGGGCUUCGACCAGUGGGGAUACGAGCUAAAGUGUGAGGCGUAAGGGGUUGCUGUCCCGUGACCAACUCGAAGGGGCUGUGAUGCGGCGCCUCGCUGUGCUGCAAGUUGUAACAGAACUGGGCUACAUCCAACAAAUGUACCUUACGAAGUAUCUUAGGUAUUCUUCCAAUUCUAAUAGGGCGUUACCGUCUGCCCAUCCGUUUGUGGGUGGAAACUGGUGGAGAAGUGGAGUUCCGAACCCAAAAGACUUUUGUCCUGCGAACCGCUCACUGAUGAUGUUCCGUGGAAUCCCCCAGAUGACGUUCUUUAGGAAAUUUCUGCCUCUUCAGCCGUGCAAUCUGUCGGGGCUGCUAUGAACGUGGCGUACUUGGAGAACCUGUCUACUACCACCAUGAUUGACCCAAAUCCAUCCACUUUAGGCAAGGCCGAGAUAAAGUCCAUGGAAAUGCUUUCCCAGGGUCUCCCUGGGAUUGGAUUGGUAGGGGUUCCAACAGGCCUGCUUGUUUCUGGUGGUCUACCUUGUCUUGUUGGCAAACAAGGCAGGUUCUUACGUACUCCUCUACCUCUUCUCUCAUAUGGGGCCAAAAGUCUCCUUCUUCGAGUAGGGCUAAGGUACGCCGCUGCCCUGGGUGUCCUGCCCACUUCGUGUCAUGGCAUUCUUUUAUCAAUUCUUUUCUUAGAUUGCCCCACUUUGGUACAUAAAGUCUUUCUCCCUUAGUGUGGAGUAAUCCGUUGCAAAAUCGGCGCCUUUCCUUCUCGAGCCAUUGUCACGAGCUGGAUUUGAACCAACACCUCUGGGCCAGCGAACUUCCUUUAUUCUAAUCGUGACUGACAUGACACGGUCCCUCCGAAGAGUACGAUGUUUGGCUUGCUGCUCUCCCGGGACACACCACACGAAAGCUUUGAAAAAGCUAUUCCCACUGCUUCGGAACAAAGGUGAUUCUGUUCAUGCUGAAGACGAUCUGUCUAAUUCUAUAUACUUCUAUAUAGACUCAACUUCUAUUAGAAAGGCGAACCUAACCUAUAGGCCUGUUUUAGCGCAAAGAAGGAAAAAGGAAGGUCAGAGGGUGGAGAAUUGCGAGGGGGAGGGCGGCGCCCCUUG